rnacentral:rRNA from 1 species
CCCUUAGAUGUUCUGGGCCGCACGCGCGCUACACUGAUGCAUUCAACGAGUCUAAAACCUGCUCUGAUAGGGGUGGGUAAUCUUUUGAAUGUGCAUCGUGAUUGGGAUAGAUGAUUGCAAUUUUUCAUCUUCAACGAGGAAUGCCUAGUAAACGCAAGUCAUCAGCUUGCAUUGAUUACGUCCCUGCCCUUUGUACACACCGCCCGUCGCUCCUACCGAUUGAAUGAUCCGAUGAAUAUCAUAGACUGAGAGUAUAAGCAGGUUCGCCUGUCUUUGCUUCUCGGGAAGUGAAGUAAAGCUUAUCAUUUAGAGGAAGGAGAAGUCGUAACA